rnacentral:misc_RNA from 1 species
AUCCCUUGGACUUGUUUGUUCCCUUUCUGCUGGAAGUGAAAGGGCCCUGUUCCCCAUACUUCUCCACCUUGACACUUUACUGGGACUGUCAACUGCUGCUUCUUUUGGUGUGUAAACUGAUUUUUGGUACUUUUUCCGGCUUAAGUAUAUCAAUAGCCUGUCGAUCAGUUUGUCCUCUUCAUCCUGAGUUUCCUUAUCGUCUGCAGUUGUGACUUUUAGGCUUCGUAAAUUUCA